UACGGAGGGUGCGAGCGUUGUCCGGAAUCAUUGGGCGUAAAGGGCGCGUAGGUGGCGGGACAAGCGUGCGGUGAAAGCCUGGGGCUCAACCCCGGGUCGGCCGUGCGAACUGUUUUGCUUGAGCACUGUAGAGGCAGGCGGAAUUCCGAGUGUAGAGGUGAAAUUCGUAGAUAUUCGGAGGAACACCAGUGGCGAAGGCGGCUCACUGGUCCGGUACUGACGCUGAGGUGCGAAAGCGUGGGGAGCAAACAGG
rnacentral:rRNA from 1 species